GACGAACGCUGGCGGCGUGCUUAACACAUGCAAGUCGAACGGAAAGGCCCUGCUUGCAGGGUACUCGAGUGGCGAACGGGUGAGUAACACGUGGGUGAUCUGCCCUGCACUUCGGGAUAAGCCUGGGAAACUGGGUCUAAUACCGGAUAGGAGCCAUUUUUAGUGUGAUGGUUGGAAAGUUUUUUCGGUGUAGGAUGAGCUCGCGGCCUAUCAGCUUGUUGGUGGGGUAAUGGCCUACCAAGGCGGCGACGGGUAGCCGGCCUGAGAGGGUGGACGGCCACAUUGGGACUGAGGGACGGCCCAGACUCCUACGGGAGGCAGCAGUGGGGAAUAUUGCACAAGGGGCGCAAGCCGGAUGCAGCGACGCCGCGUGGGGGAUGACGGCCUUCGGGUUGUAAACUCCUUUCGCUAGGGACGAAGCUUUUUGUGACGGUACCUAGAGAAGAAGCACCGGCUAACUACGUG
rnacentral:rRNA from 1 species